AUUGAACGCUGGCGGCAUGCCUUACACAUGCAAGUCGAACGGCAGCACGGGGGCAACCCUGGUGGCGAGUGGCGAACGGGUGAGUAAUACAUCGGAACGUGCCCCGUAGCGGGGGACAACCAGUCGAAAGACUGGCUAAUACCGCAUACGCCCCACGGAGGAAAGCAGGGGAUCGCAAGACCUUGCACUAUGGGAGCGGCCGAUGCCCGAUUAGCUAGUUGGUGAGGUAAAGGCUCACCAAGGCAACGAUCGGUAGCUGGUCUGAGAGGACGACCAGCCACACUGGGACUGAGACACGGCCCAGACUCCUACGGGAGGCAGCAGUGGGGAAUUUUGGACAAUGGGCGCAAGCCUGAUCCAGCCAUGCCG
rnacentral:rRNA from 1 species